rnacentral:lncRNA from 1 species
GCCAGAUUUCAUUGUUCACUACUACAUAACCCAUCUUCAGUACAAGAUCUAAACUACAUAAACCCAUAUCAUUACAGGAGGAACAUAGAGCUACGAAGGCGAAGGAAGAGCCCCUCCCCUUGGACGCCCUUUCAACGGGAGCCGGAAGAAGCGGGGAUCCUGCAGCGCCUGCCUCUUCCCCUUCGGCCCAAGAAAGGCGCCUGGAGGAGAGAAGCGGGGCUUUUGGGCCGCCUCCUGGAUCGGGACCUGGACGGAGGAAGGGGUGAGACUCAGCUGAUUGCUCUUUGCUGUUUUUGGACCCAAAAACCAAUAACCAAAUCCCAGAUCCCUCCAACAUUUGCAAGGUAAGCGAGAUUUCAAGAGGUGGCUUAAGCAGCCGUGCCACACACUCUCUCCUCUCAGUUUCCCUGGCCCAGCAGAGAUUUGAAUCCUGGUCUCCUGGUUUCCAGUCUGGUACUCAUCCACAUCACCACGCUGCCUGUCUGAAGAUGUGCUGAGUGGUGGUGUUUGGUUUGCUUUGCACAUUAUUUAGGUUGUGUGUUUUUUUUUAAAUGAUCUCGAUCCUGCUCACCCCAACCCCAUGCUCACCAAGGGCAGGUCCUCUUGAUAAGAGGCAAACCUUGGUCAUCCUAAUUUGCAGUGUGGGGUUUUCCCCCCUGAACAGACAAGCCACACUGGGAAUUUUGCUUUACGCCCUCCAUCUGUACUUCAGAGUCCUAUGAUAAUUGAUUAACAGGUGUCAUGAACCCAGUUCCCCUGUUUGUUUCUCCACAUAACCCAGGUUCACUUUUGGAUGUGACAGUUAUUUUUCAGCCUUUCCCGCUGCUACCAGAGGAGAUAUUCCUCACUCUAUCAAAUAGGACUCUUCAAUCAGUGUGAUUCA